AUAACAACAGAUGAUGCCUAUCAACUGUUUAAAAAGAUGGUUCUGCUAUCACUCUUGGAUGGACCUGCGGUGCAUUAGCUAGUUGGUAGGGGUAAACGGGCCUACCAAGGCGAUGAUGCAUAGCCCGAGUUGAGAGACUGAUCGGCCACAUUGGGACUGAGACACGGCCCAAACUCCCUACGGGAGGCAGCAGUAGGGAAUCUUCCACAAUGGACGCAAGUCUGAUGGAGCAACGCCGCGUGAGUGAAGAAGGGUUUCGGCUACGUAAAGCUCUGUUGUUGGUGAAGAAGGACGAGGGGGUAGUAACUGACCUUUGUUUGACGGUAAUCAAUUAGAAAGUCACGGGCUAACUACGUGCCAGCAGCCGCGGUAAAU
rnacentral:rRNA from 1 species